UUCGCGGGCAAGCCCGCUCCCACAGAGUGCACAUCCCUAGGAGAUUGUGGAGAUCCUGUGGGAGCGGGCUUGCCCGCGAA
rnacentral:misc_RNA from 2 species